rnacentral:tRNA from 1 species
UCCCUGGUAGUAUAUCGGUCAGUACACGCGCCUGUCAUUUUCACCUUACCGCGCGAAAGCUGGGUUCGACUCCCAGCCAGGGAG